rnacentral:rRNA from 1 species
GACGAACGCUGGCGGCGUGCCUAAUACAUGCAAGUCGAGCGGAUCUUUGGGAGCUUGCUCCCAAAGAUUAGCGGCGGACGGGUGAGUAACACGUGGGCAACCUGCCUAUAAGACUGGGAUAACUUCGGGAAACCGGAGCUAAUACCGGAUCAUUCAUAUCUACUCAUGUAGGUAUGCUAAAAGACGGUUUACGCUGUCACUUAUAGAUGGGCCCGCGGCGCAUUAGCUAGUUGGUGAGGUAACGGCUCACCAAGGCAACGAUGCGUAGCCGACCUGAGAGGGUGAUCGGCCACACUGGGACUGAGACACGGCCCAGACUCCUACGGGAGGCAGCAGUAGGGAAUCUUCCGCAAUGGACGAAAGUCUGACGGAGCAACGCCGCGUGAGUGAUGAAGGUUUUCGGAUCGUAAAACUCUGUUGUUAGGGAAGAACAAGUACCAGAGUAACUGCUGGUACCUUGACGGU